rnacentral:rRNA from 1 species
GGAGGGUGCAAGCGUUAAUCGGAAUUACUGGGCGUAAAGCGCACGCAGGCGGUUGGAUAAGUUAGAUGUGAAAGCCCCGGGCUCAACCUGGGAAUUGCAUUUAAAACUGUCCAGCUAGAGUCUUGUAGAGGGGGGUAGAAUUCCAGGUGUAGCGGUGAAAUGCGUAGAGAUCUGGAGGAAUACCGGUGGCGAAGGCGGCCCCCUGGACAAAGACUGACGCUCAGGUGCGAAAGCGUGGGGAGCAAACAGGAUUAGAUACCCUGGUAGUCCACGCCGUAAACGAUGUCGAUUUGGAGGCUGUGUCCUUGAGACGUGGCUUCCGGAGCUAACGCGUUAAAUCGACCGCCUGGGGAGUACGGCCGCAAGGKUA